rnacentral:piRNA from 1 species
UUAAAACUGCUUCCAUGUCUAAGC